rfam:Crocosphaera watsonii WH 8501 ctg337, whole genome shotgun sequence.
GGGAGCCGGAUGCGGUGAAAGUCGCACGUCCGGAUCUAAAUGAGAGGGGCGAAGCGUAAUAGCUUCCCUCGACUCAAC